rnacentral:rRNA from 1 species
GAUGAACGCUGGCGGCGUGCCUAAUACAUGCAAGUCGAGCGAAUGGAUUAAGAGCUUGCUCUUAUGAAGUUAGCGGCGGACGGGUGAGUAACACGUGGGUAACCUGCCCAUAAGACUGGGAUAACUCCGGGAAACCGGGGCUAAUACCGGAUAACAUUUUGAACCGCAUGGUUCGAAAUUGAAAGGCGGCUGCGGCUGUCACUUAUGGAUGGACCCGCGUCGCAUUAGCUAGUUGGUGAGGUAACGGCUCACCAAGGCAACGAUGCGUAGCCGACCUGAGAGGGUGAUCGGCCACACUGGGACUGAGACACGGCCCAGACUCCUACGGGAGGCAGCAGUAGGGAAUCUUCCGCAAUGGACGAAAGUCUGACGGAGCAACGCCGCGUGAGUGAUGAGGGCUUUCGGGUCGUAAAGCUCUGUUGUUAGGGAAGAACAAGUGCUAGUUGAAUAAGCUGACACCUUGACGGUACCUAACCAGAAAGCCACGGCUAACUACGUGCCAGCAGCCGCCGUAA